CACACGCACACACACGCUGCGGCUGCGGCCGGUGCUGCCGCACUGGGGGCGCGGAGCGGGCUCCUCCGGGCGGACAGGGAUUUGCAAGCUUUUAUACUGCUGAUGAGCAGAAGGCAGAGGAGACUUGCCUUUAAACUGGGAGCUUCAGUAUUAAACACAGAACUCGGCCUGCCAGUUGGGAUGUCACAAUGCUAAAUGUUUUACCUGGAGAGCAACUGUAGCAGUCGUGAGAGUUACAAGACUAUGCUGUAUGCUUCUUACAGAAACUGCAGACUCUUUUUGGCAACAGUCCUCAAUUUCCACCUGCAGAACUUGAUCAAAGGACUCUGCAACGUAUGAGACAGAGAAACUGUUUAAUUAAACUGCUUUUUGAAGUCCAACUUGUGAAGAGGCCAGACCACUGCACUGUAUCGUGUCUCACACAAGCAUUGCUGUCUGAGGUUGGAGCACCACUUUCCAUUGAAAUUACUGCAGUAUGGUGCAUCUUCUGUGGCUUUGUCCAUUCUUGCAACUUCUUUUGCACUGUUGGUCUGGCAUGAAUGGUACCGAUGGUGCAAAGAUUUGGGUAAAUCAUGGAUGCGUAUUUCCACCUUCAUCCUUCAUCAAUCCUUCCUUCAUCCAUUGCCCUGAGAAGCCGUGGAUGUCUCUUCCUGCAGGUGUUCAAGACCAGGCUGGAUGAGGCUUUGAGCAACCUGACCUAGUGGACUGUGUCCCUGCCUCUGGCAGGGGGGUUGGAACUAGAUGAUCCUUAAGGUCCCUUCCAACUGAAACCAUUCUAUGAUUCUAUGAAUCUAUGAUUCUAUGAUUGUAUGAUUCUAUGAUUCUAUGGUUUUAUCCUCUAGGUCUGUAUAAUGCAGUAAAAUUAGUAGAAAAACUGUGUAAAUCUAUAAUGAAAAUGUAUGUAAUGAAAACAAUGCCUUUUUUGAUGGCAGUUUAAUUGAAAGAAAUAUCUAUAUUUACAACUUAAUCCUUACGCUUGUAUCCCAGUUUUAGGUAAACAAAAAGUAAUGCAUACAAUUAGUAUUUUUUUUAACUACCAGGGAGCCAAGCAUCCCAAGUUGCUUGGGAAUACAGGCUCUAUUGUUUUGGAAGCAAAUUCUCAUAUGUGGUAAGCUGUGGGUACAAAUUAAAAGUUUAUCUUUAAAAACUAGAAUCCAGAAUGUUUUGUAUUCACACGGGAAGCAUAGAAAGUAAACUUGUGAAAUGACAUUGAAAAGAUUAGUAAUAAGAGAAAGCACCAAUACUGGUACAUAAAAUAAUGACUAGUUUUAACACAUGCUGUGUCACUGUAUCAGAGAGGAACAAAAGGAAAUUCAAUGAAUUGGGAAGGAAACAUUUAAAACUAAUAAAGUGAAUUUCCCUUUAGUACAAUGACUAACUGGCGUACUUAAGUCAUUACCACAAGAUACAGUAUCAGAAAUAAACAUUUCUGUGAAUAAGGAGAACAGUUAUAUUAGGCUGGAUAGAGAAUUUAUGUGGGAUAUAAACACUCAUGAUUCAGGACAUAAACCAGCUACUAAAUAAAAAUUGGCAAGACAUGUUCCCUAAGGGCAGAGCAGUCUUAUAUGGUGUUUCUCAUACUUUACUCUGACACAUUUUGAGGUACUAGUAAGUCUUGAAGAAAAGGUACCAAAUUAGGUUCAACAGUGGUAUAAUUAAACAUGGCAAUUCUUUUGCUCUAAGAUACUGUUCCUGAGCAUGAG